rnacentral:rRNA from 1 species
GAUGAACGCUGGCGGCGUGCCUAAUACAUGCGAGUAGAACGCUGAAGCUUGGUGCUUGCACCGAGCGGAUGAGUUGCGAACGGGUGAGUAACGCGUAGGUAACCUGCCUGGUAGCGGGGGAUAACUAUUGGAAACGAUAGCUAAUACCGCAUAACAGUAGAUAUUGCAUGAUAUCUGCUUGAAAGGUGCAAAUGCAUCACUACCAGAUGGACCUGCGUUGUAUUAGCUAGUUGGUGAGGUAACGGCUCACCAAGGCGACGAUACAUAGCCGACCUGAGAGGGUGAUCGGCCACACUGGGACUGAGACACGGCCCAGACUCCUACGGGAGGCAGCAGUAGGGAAUCUUCGGCAAUGGGGGGAACCCUGACCGAGCAACGCCGCGUGAGUGAAGAAGGUUUUCGGAUCGUAAAGCUCUGUUGUAAGAGAAGAACGAGUGUGAGAGUGGAAAGUUCACACUGUGACGGUAUCUUACCAGAAAGGGACGGCUAACUACGU